GGGAUAAUAGCUCAGUGGUAGAGCACAUACUUAGCAUGCACAAGGUCCUGGGUUCAAUCCUCAGUACUUUCA
rnacentral:tRNA from 1 species